UUCCUUUGGAGGAGGAAAGAAACUCCUAGAGGGCAGAGGCAUGCCUGCCAUCUUCAUCAUUGCAUUACCAUCACCCAACACUAUCAGGGGACCUGCCCUGAUAAUCAGUCUACAGUUGUAUCCAGCAGCUCCAGAGAGACAGCGACCAGCAAGAAGGGGCCAUGAUGAUGGUGGUGGUUUUUUCAAAACGAAAAGGGGGAUAUGUAGGGAAAAGAAAGAGAGAUCAGACUCUUACAGACUCUUACUGUGUCUACAUAGAAAGGGAAGACAUAAGAGACUCCAUUUGGAAAAAGACCUGUACUUUAAACAAUUGCUUUGCUGAGAUGUUGUUAAUCUGUAGCUUUGCCCCAGCCACUUUGCCCCAACCACUUUGACCCAGUCUGGAGCUCACAAAAACAUGUGUUGUAUGAAAUCAAGGUUUAAGGCAUGUAGGGCUGUGCAGGAUGUGCCUUGUUAACCAAAUGUUUGCAAGCAGUAUACUUGGUAAAAGUCAUCACCAUUCUCUUGUCUCAAUAAACCAGGGGCACAAUGCACUGUGGAAAGCCGCAGGGACCUCUGCCCUUGAAAGCUGGGUAUUAUUCAAAGUUUCCCCCCAUGUGAUAGUCUGAAAUAUGGCCUCGUGGGAUGAGAAAGGCCUGACGGUCCCCUAGCCCGACACCCAUAAAAGGUCUGUGCUGAGGUGGAUUAGUCAAAGAGGAAAGACUCUUGCAUUUGAGAUAGAGGAAGGCCACUGUCUCCUGCCUGCCCCUGGGAACUGAAUGUCUCGGUAUAAAACACGAUUGUACAUUUGUUCAAUUCUGAGAUGGGAGAAAAACCGCCCUAUGGUGGGAGGUGAGACAUGUUUACAGCAAUACUGCCUUGAUAUUCUUUACUCCACUGAGAUGUUUGGGUGGAGAGAAACAUAAAUCUGGCUUACAUGCACGUUCAGUCAUAGUACCUUCCCUUGAACUUCAUUAUGACAUAGAUUCUAUUGCUCACAUGUUUGUUGCUGACCUUCUUAUUAUCACCCUGCCCUCCUACUACAUUCCUUUUUGCUGAAAUAAUAAAGAUAGUAUUCAAUAAAAACUGAGGGAACUCAGAGACCGGUGCCAGUGCAGGUCCUUGGUAUGCUAAGCGCCGGUACCCUGGG
rnacentral:lncRNA from 10 species